GACGAACGCUGGCGGCGUGCUUAACACAUGCAAGUCGAACGGAAAGGCCCUGCUUUUGUGGGGUGCUCGAGUGGCGAACGGGUGAGUAACACGUGAGUAACCUGCCCUUGACUUUGGGAUAACUUCAGGAAACUGGGGCUAAUACCGGAUAGGAGCUCCUGCUGCAUGGUGGGGGUUGGAAAGUUUCGGCGGUUGGGGAUGGACUCGCGGCUUAUCAGCUUGUUGGUGGGGUAGUGGCUUACCAAGGCUUUGACGGGUAGCCGGCCUGAGAGGGUGACCGGCCACAUUGGGACUGAGAUACGGCCCAGACUCCUACGGGAGGCAGCAGUGGGGAAUAUUGCACAAUGGGCGGAAGCCUGAUGCAGCAACGCCGCGUGCGGGAUGACGGCCUUCGGGUUGUAAACCGCUUUCGCCUGUGACGAAGCGUGAGUGACGGUAAUGGGUAAAGAAGCACCGGCUAACUACGUGCCAGCAGCCGCGGUGAUACGUAGGGUGCGAGCGUUGUCCGGAUUUAUUGGGCGUAAAGGGCUCGUAGGUGGUUGAUCGCGUCGGAAGUGUAAUCUUGGGGCUUAACCCUGAGCGUGCUUUCGAUACGGGUUGACUUGAGGAAGGUAGGGGAGAAUGGAAUUCCUGGUGGAGCGGUGGAAUGCGCAGAUAUCAGGAGGAACACCAGUGGCGAAGGCGGUUCCCUGGGCCCUUCCUGACGCUGAGGAGCGAAAGCGUGGGGAGCGAACAGGCUUAGAUACCCUGGUAGUCCACGCUGUAAACGGUGGGUACUAGGUGUGGGGUCCAUUCCACGGGUACCGUGCCGUAGCUAACGCUUUAAGUACCCCGCCUGGGGAGUACGGCCGCAAGGCUAAAACUCAAAGGAAUUGACGGGGCCCCGCACAAGCGGCGGAGCAUGCGGAUUAAUUCGAUGCAACGCGUAGAACCUUACCUGGGUUUGACAUGGAUCGGGAGUGCUCAGAGAUGGGUGUGCCUCUUUUGGGGUCGGUUCACAGGUGGUGCAUGGCUGUCGUCAGCUCGUGUCGUGAGAUGUUGGGUUAAGUCCCGCAACGAGCGCAACCCUUGUUCACUGUUGCCAGCACGUUAUGGUGGGGACUCAGUGGAGACCGCCGGGGUCAACUCGGAGGAAGGUGGGGAUGACGUCAAGUCAUCAUGCCCCUUAUGUCCAGGGCUUCACGCAUGCUACAAUGGCUGGUACAGAGAGUGGCGAGCCUGUGAGGGUGAGCGAAUCUCGGAAAGCCGGUCUCAGUUCGGAUUGGGGUCUGCAACUCGACCUCAUGAAGUCGGAGUCGCUAGUAAUCGCAGAUCAGCAACGCUGCGGUGAAUACGUUCCCGGG
rnacentral:rRNA from 1 species